AGUUGCACAAACUUUUCUCAAAGUUGCACUAAAUUGCGCAAAAUUGUACAAAUUUUUCACAAAGUUGCAAAAAAUUGCGUAAAGUUGUACAAAGUUGCAUAAACUUCUCACGAAGUUGCACAAAAAUGUGCAAAGUUGUACAAAGUUGCAUGACCUUCUCACAAAGUUGCAAAAAAUUGCGCAAAGUUGUACAAAGUUACAUUAACUUUUCACAAAGUUAUGCAAAAUUGCGCAAAGGUUCACAAAGUCACAUAAAAUUGUACUAAGUUCCAUUAACUUCUCACAAAAUUCCACUUUCUGCUCCCUUCCCCAAAAUGAAUUAAAACUUGAAUUCUAGCUGCACCAUUGAAAACACUUGUGCGAAGUUGCAAUGCAAAGCUUUGCACGUGUGCAUUAACGUAAUCGUGCACAAUUAAACAUGCAUCGCAACUGCUCGAGUACCGGUACAUGCGUGCGUCUUCACCGUCAACCAUAUUACGGUAUGUCGUAUUUGACUCAAUUCAAUCAAACGUGAAUCUACAGUACAUGCGCGCCGCUAGCUAGAGCUGAGUUAUCGCAGGAAACAAUUCUAGAGCUGGGCUUUGAAUGCAUUAUCAGAGACCUGAAAUGAGCUGCAUUGACUUUAUUUCGAUGAUGGAACUGAGAGAAGGAGAAAACAGAUUUAGUUACUUCAUCUCCAGAUGUCAUAUUGAAUAGCCUGCAGUUACUGUCCAUUUACAACUUCAUGGGUAAGCACAGAAAAGAAGCAAGAAGGGCAUAUUUGAAAAGAAGAAGAUCAGCAAUGAGAGAAACAAAAUUAGCUGGGAAUGAUUUGGAUGAUACCCAAAUGAGUCACAUGAAAAUUGAUAGCCCAGCUAAUGAAGAUAACAGCCAUUGCAUCCAAACCAAAAUGACUGAAAAACACACCCCUUUAUUCUGUACGCCGCCAAAGUCAAAGUCAUCAUCAGCACUGCUACCAUCAUCGUCAAAGUCAUCAUCAGCACUGCUACCAUCAUCAAAUAUGUCAAAUUCAUCAGCACUGCUGCCAUCAUCAAAUACGUCGAAUUCAUCAGCACUGCUACCAUCGUCGUCAAAUACGUUGAAGUCAUCAGCGCUGCUACCUUCAUCGUCAAAUACAUCUAAGUCAUCAGCACUGCUAGCAUCGUCGUCAAAUACGUCAAAGUCAUCAGCACUGCUACCAUCAUUGUCAAAUACAUCUACAUAUACGCAGCCCAGAUACAGCAUGCAGGUCAGUAUAUACAGAGUUGCCUGCAGUAGUAACUGGCAACCUGCAGGAUCAGAAUGACAUUUACAAUUUUACUGAUGAAGACGGAGUGGAAGAUAUGGAAGGUGGAGAGAGAGAGGUACAAACAGGGCAGAAUGAAAAAGGCACGCCAGGAGAACAUGAUGAAGGCGAAGGAGGUGAAGAACAUAAUGAAGGCGAACCAAGUGAAGAACAUAAUGAAGGUGAAGCAAGUGAAGAACAUAAUGAAGGUGAAGCAAGUGAAGAACAUAAUGAAGGUGAAGCAAGUGAAGAACAUAAAUGAAGGUGAAGCAAGUGAAGAACAUAAUGAAGGUGAAGCAAGUGAAGAACAUAAUGAAGGCGAAGGAGGUGAAGAACAUAAUGAAGGCGAAGCAAGUGAAGAACAUAAUGAAGGUGAAGCAAGUGAAGAACAUAAUGAAGGUGAAGCAGAAGAUAACAAUGAAUGAAAGUCACAAUUGAAAUUGGACAUUUAACAGAGAGCUGUGUAACUCAUAAAAUUGAACUUUAUAUUUUAUAAAUGUAACUAUUAAACACUCAUCCCU
rnacentral:misc_RNA from 1 species